rnacentral:rRNA from 1 species
AUUGAACGCUGGCGGCAGGCCUAACACAUGCAAGUCGAGCGGAUGAAGGGAGCUUUCUCCUGGAUUCAGCGGCGGACGGGUGAGUAAUGCCUAGGAAUCUGCCUGGUAGUGGGGGAUAACGUCCGGAAACGGGCGCUAAUACCGCAUACGUCCUGAUGGAGAAAGUGGGGGAUCUUCGGACCUCACGCUAUCAGAUGAGCCUAGGUCGGAUUAGCUAGUUGGUUGGGUAAAGGCCUACCAAGGCGACGAUCCGUAACUGGUCUGAGAGGAUGAUCAGUCACACUGGAACUGAGACACGGUCCAGACUCCUACGGGAGGCAGCAGUGGGGAAUAUUGGACAAUGGGCGAAAGCCUGAUCCAGCCAUGCCGCGUGUGUGAAGAAGGUCUUCGGAUUGUAAAGCACUUUAAGUUGGGAGGAACAGCAGUAAGUUAAUCCAUUGCUGUUUUGACGUUACCAACAGAAUAAGCACCGGCUAACUUCGUG